rnacentral:tRNA from 1 species
GCAGUCGUGGCCGAGUGGUUAAGGCGAUGGACUCGAAAUCCAUUGCGGUUUCCCCGCACAGGUUCGAAUCCUGUCGGCUGCG